AUGAAAACAUGUUUCCUUUCGAGUGCUUGAAAGUUCGAGAAGUUGAAAACUGUAUAGUUUGCAUUCUCCGACCAUGCGUAGAAUUUGCUCCUUGGCUCAUGCCUUACAAAGGAUACUGCGAGCACACGGAGAAAACCUACUCAGAAAAACCGCAAUUCAAAAAACUGAAAGGCUACUGGUGGAUUUAUAUCAUCAUUCCCCUAACCACGCUAGCACUACUGUGGAAUUUAUAUUAUAUGUCGAGGAUUUGUUCUGAAGAUUCAGUUACAUGUUUGCUGCUUGUGACAGAUGAACUAACAGGAUUCUACGGAGUUUCCUUCUACAUCGUUAUUUGGAUGAACUCGAGAUUUUAUUUGGCAGCUACCAACAUCACGUGUGAUAUCAGCUCGGAAUGGUCGAAAUUCGGAAACGGGCCCUUGGUGUCUCCAAAUGACCGAAAACAGUUCCGUUUGAGAUUUCGUCUGGUAGUUGUUGCAAUAUAUAUCUCGUACUCCAUUAUAAUACACCACUUCUACAUGCUUAUCCAACAUUAUGGAUUCAAUUGCCAGUCCUUUUCUAAAAUGAUAGUGUUAGGAAGUUCCAUCAUCCAAAUAACUGUUAACUCAUCUCUCAUACUACAGUCUUCUCUGAAUCAUUUCAUACUGAGAGCAAUUUAUAUAAAAGUACAAGUCGAUUUGAGCGAUGAAGUUGAAUCCAGUAAACUCGCCCUGCCCCAAGGACGAAACAUCAACGCCCAUGCAAGAAUGUGCAAAAAAAUGGCUCUGAUGUACAGGUAUUUGAACGAAUACCUCAAUCCCACUUUCCUGAUUUUCCUGAUAACCUCAGUUGCAAUACUUAUAAUUAAUAUUUACAUUUUCAUAACACCCUGGAGUGUGAAACAUCUACUAGAAAUUAGGUCCUUGCAGUGGCGUACAGGGUUAUUAAUUGUGAUGUUGUUUGUGAAUGUAACAGAAGUGGAUCUUCAGCAAAUGAAUGAAGACGUUUUAUCAUUUCUGUUCAAAUAUCCGAUCAGCAAGCUGACUCGACAAGAAGCUGCACAGGUGGAAAUGCUAGUUGCAACACUCAUACUUCAGAAACCAGUAGUAAGAGCAUCAGACACCAUCACUAUUGGGAGAAGAUUACUUGCAUCGAUAUCUGGAACAGUUCUCACGUACGUCUUGGUAGCUCUACAGUUCCGGGCAGCUUGGUCUGAAACUUGAGUGACGGUCUCCAAAAUGCCUCAUCAUUUCAAAAAAGUAUCACCUGCUUCAAUUCUUUCAAACAAGCAACCAUCAACAAAUGACACAAAAUAUACUUAUUGGUUUCUGCGAAACAGUUGGGCCUAUUUCAUACGCAUUCGGGUUAUUGGAAUUGAUGAUGGGUCAUCAAAAUGCCAAAUUUGUAUUUCGCAAAUCCUGACCUUUGUUUAUACACAGUGUGAUAGUGUAUUAUUAUUUCACUUACGAAGUGGUCACUGAUGUGGCCUAUGACAUAUUAGCUCACCAUGAAUCACUCUCACCACUUCAAGAUGGAUGGUACGCAGGACUUGCUACCAUAGUUGUUCUGCUGAGAAUACCAAAACAUCUUGACACACUGAAUCAGUUGGCAGUAGUGUUCAGAGAUGGUAUGUUCUGUCACUCAGUAAGAAAAGUAGUAUUUUAAGUGCAAUAUGGAAUUAUCUUCCUGGUUCUAAUAGCCGUACUGAUGCAAGGAGGAGCUUUGCUAUGGCUCCAUUUAUCUACUUCAUAUGGAACAACCUUUACCAUGGGGGAAUGUUGUUCAGAUUGACACAAAAUGUAACUUUCCUCUUCUAUGCCCAGUUCCGCACUGGAGCACUAGUUUGCUUCGAAAAACUAGCCUUGAGCUCGUUGAUUUACAUUCCUUAGCACCCAACACCAGAAUUUUCAUGGGGAUCAUCCUCAUCAAGCUCUGCGAAGGCGAGCACCCAAAUGCUGGUGAGGUAAUAGAACACCUGAGGAUCGCACACACAGAAAUCAGCUUGGACAUCUACAGUUACAACGAGAGCAUGAUUUUUUUUUCCUUCAUAUCAUCGUAGUCCAUCGGUAUGCUGUGAUCGUCUACGUGGUAUACUAUUUCAACAGUACUGGAUCUGAUGUUAUUCAUGCUUGUUCGUCCUUCUCAUACUUGGGUAUUGUUUGCAUUUCUGAAGAGUGUUGAACACAUGAAAAAUAUGAAUGAAAAAUUUCUAUCAUUUUUAUUCAAUUAUCCCAUUGGCAAACUCAGGCAAGAGGAAGCUGAUCAGGUGGAAAUGCUAGUGUCUACACUCCUACUUUUGAAAUCAGAAUGCCGCACGGAGGUUCUCAACCUCUCUUUGACGGUUCUUCCAUCAUUGAUUGGAAACAUUGUGACGCAUAUUUUAGUAGCUGUCCAAUUCAGUAUAGCGUGGUCUAAGAAUUGAACAAUGAUCUUCAAGACGUCUGCACGUCUGAAAAAUUAUGAUCUGCUUCGAAUACACCGAAAAGAAAACCAUAAUCGACCGAGCUUCAACUGUUUUUUCAACAGAAUUCAACUCACAUAUAAAAAAGUAAUAAUCAAGUCAAAACACCAAUGUGUUUUCUUUGUUCAUAUAGUGAUUCAUUCUACGGAAUAUUUUCGAAAAAGGAUUAUACUAUGAAUUUUGUAACAAGAAGCAUGAAUAGAAUUUUCAAAAAUAAUUUUUAUUUCUGUCAUUUGAAGCAUCUUUGAAUAGUUUGACUACUGAGUGGUUGGAAAAAAUGAAAAAACUGCCUUAGUAGGGUUUUGAACUCAUGAACACUAGCACCCAUGCACCCAUGCAAAAAACAACUUCUUUACGAAGCUGCAAAUUAGUGAGGCAUACCGUAUUCGAGUUUCAAACUACCAUAAUUUUAUUAUUGAGUGAAAAACUUUUGAAAAAUAAAAAUU